rnacentral:rRNA from 1 species
AUUGAACGCUGGCGGAAUGCUUUACACAUGCAAGUCGAACGGUAGAGGGGGCAACCCCUCGAGAGUGGCGAACGGGUGAGUAAUAUAUCGGAACGUGCCCAGUCGUGGGGAUAACGUAGCGAAAGUUACGCUAAUACCGCAUACGAUCUACGGAUGAAAGCGGGGGACUCGCAAGAGCCUCGCGCGAUUGGAGCGGCCGAUAUCAGAUUAGGUAGUUGGUGGGGUAAAGGCUCACCAAGCCAACGAUCUGUAGCUGGUCUGAGAGGACGACCAGCCACACUGGAACUGAGACACGGUCCAGACUCCUACGGGAGGCAGCAGUGGGGAAUUUUGGACAAUGGACGCAAGUCUGAUCCAGCCAUUCCGCGUGCAGGAUGAAGGCCCUCGGGUUGUAAACUGCUUUUGUACGGAACGAAAAGGUCUCUAUUAAUACUAGGGGCUCAUGACGGUACCGUAAGAAUAAGCACCGGCUAACUACGUGCCAGCAGCCGCGGUAAAGUGACU